rnacentral:tRNA from 1 species
GGAGGUUUAGCUCAGCUGGGAGAGCACUUGCUUCACGUGCAAGGGGUCACAGGUUCGAGCCCUGUAAUCUCCA